UACGUAGGGUGCAAGCGUUGCCCGGAUUUAUUGGGCGUAAAGGGCGCGUAGGCGGCCAUGCGUGUCUUCCGUGAAAUCCCUCGGCUUAACCGAGGACGUGCGGAAGAAACUGCAAGGCUCGAGUCCGGAAGAGGGGGGCGGAAUCCCCAGUGUAGCGGUGAAAUGCGUAGAUAUUGGGAGGAACACCAGUGGCGAAGGCGGUCCCCUGGGCCGGAACUGACGCUGAGGCGCGAAAGCGUGGGUAGCAAACGGG
rnacentral:rRNA from 1 species